rnacentral:rRNA from 1 species
GAUGAACGCUGGCGGCGUGCUUAAUACAUGCAAGUCGAACGGAAGGAACCUGCUUUUGUGGGGUGCUCGAGUGGCGAACGGGUGAGUAACACGUAAGUAACCUGCCCAUGACUUUGGGGUAACUUCCGGGAACCGGGGACAAAUCCCGGUAGGAUAUCCUGCAGCCUGGUGGGGGUUGGUAAGUUUGGGCUGUGGGGGAUGGGCUCGUGGUGUCUCAGAUUGUUGGUGGGGUAGUGGCUUCCCACGGAGUUGACGGGUAGUAGGCCUGAGAGGGUGACCGGCCACAGUGGGAGUGAGAUACGGCACAGACUCGUACGGGAGGCAGGGGUAGGGAAGAUUGCACGACGGGCGGAAGCCUGAUGCAUCAACGCCGCGUGCGGGAUGAAGGCCUUCGGGUUGUAGGCCGAUUUGGACUGAGACGAAGCGUGAGUGACGGUAAUGGGUAAGAAAGCACCGGCUAACUACGUG